rnacentral:tRNA from 1 species
GAGAUUCUAGUAAAAUAACAUUACAUUACCUUGUCAGGGCAAAAUUGUGGGUUUAAAUCCCACGAAUCUUA